AGGAUUUUGGACAGUCCUGUGUGGUCGGCUGCUCGCUUCGGGCCUGGGGAGAGCUCAAGGGUCAUUACCCACUGUCUAUACUCAAUGAAGAUCUUCCAGAAGGACCAGAAGAUUUUUUCUGGUAGCAUUCAGCCUGCACUGAGAGGUCAUGCGAUCCCUUGGAAAAACAGCAUUAGCUGGCUACUUUUAUGUACGCUGCAAUGUAUUUCUUUCCUCUUGUUUUCAGUUCAAUGGAUUUUACAGUGAGAGAGUACGGCCCUACAGAGUUUACCAGCCUCCGGCUAUUGCCAACUGUCCUCUGUCAUGGUGUGAUUAUCCAGAAAAAAACGACAGUGCUGAGGGCAUCCUGGAGUUUGGUUGCGGGUUCGAGCCUCAGGUCCGGAUGGAAUUGUCGAUGGGGGGGUGAAUAACCAGCGCUCUCUUUCCACCCUCAAUACCACGACUGAGGAGGAUGUAGGAAUUCUAUCCACCCCUGGAUUGAGGCAUGUUGGAUCCUAUGGGAAGGUCACAGCAGAGUUUAUCUCCAAAGGUUUGACUGCUGAACCUGAUUCAGAUUAUAUCCCUGCUCAAUGGCUCCAUCACCUUUCAGAAUGGCCAAACCCUCAGCUAUAUCAAUGUUUCCAUAGUGGAUGACACAGAGAGGUAAGGAUGGGGUUAAUAAUCUUGCUAUAUAUUCUCUCAUU